UACGAGGGGGGCAAGCGUUGUUCGGAAUUAUUGGGCGUAAAGGGUGCGUAGGCGGUUUGGUAAGUCUUAUGUGAAAUCUACAGGCUCAACUUGUAGUCUGCAUGAGAAACUGCCGGGCUUGAGUAUGGGAGAGGUGAGUGGAAUUCCUGGUGUAGCGGUGAAAUGCGUAGAUAUCAGGAGGAACACCUGUGGCGAAAGCGGCUCACUGGACCAUAACUGACGCUGAUGCACGAAAGCGUGGGGAGCAAACAGG
rnacentral:rRNA from 1 species